rnacentral:lncRNA from 1 species
UUCCUCUUCAUAGAUCUAAGAGAGUUUGAGAGAUCUAAAGAAGAAACCAGUAUCAAUCAUCGGAAGGUGACUUCUGCAAGGGAGCUAGCACCCCAGUGAAAUUAGGAGCCUCUGAAUGGAUCAAAAGCUUCGUAUGAAUAUCCAUAGAGGCUGGACGUAUGUGCAGCUCAUCAAAAAUCUCAUCAGAUUAUCAUGAUUAUCAAAUUAUAGUGAAAGGCUAUC